rnacentral:rRNA from 1 species
AGAGUUGAUCAUGGCUCAGGAUGAACGCUAGCUACAGGCUUAACACAUGCAAGUCGAGGGGCAGCAUGAUCGAAGCUGCUUGAUGAUGGCGACCGGCGCACGGGUGAGUAACGCGUAUCCAACCUUCCCUAUAGUAGAGGAUAGCCCGGCGAAAGUCGGAUUAAUACUCUAUGUUUUCCGAAGCAGACAUCUAAUUUGGAACAAAGGUCACCGCUAUAGGAUGGGGAUGCGUCUGAUUAGGUAGUCGGCGGGGUAACGGCCCACCGAGCCUACGAUCAGUAGGGGUUCUGAGAGGAAGGUCCCCCACAUUGGAACUGAGACACGGUCCAAACUCCUACGGGAGGCAGCAGUGAGGAAUAUUGGUCAAUGGGCGAGAGCCUGAACCAGCCAAGUAAGCGUGCAGGAUGACGGCCCUAUGGGUUGUAAACUGCUUUUAUACGGGGAUAAAGUGAGGGACGUGUCCCUUUUGUAGGUACCGUAUGAAUAAGGACCGGCUAAUUCCGUGCCAGCCGCAGC